CCUACGGGUGGCAGCAGUGAGGAAUAUUGGUCAAUGGACGAGAGUCUGAACCAGCCAAGUAGCGUGAAGGAUGACUGCCCUAUGGGUUGUAAACCUCUUUUAUAUGGGAAUAAAAUGUUCCACGUGUGGGAUGUUGUAUGUACCAUAUGAAUAAGGAUCGGCUAACUCCGUGCCAGCAGCCGCGGUAAUACGGAGGAUCCGAGCGUUAUCCGGAUUUAUUGGGGUUAAAGGGAGCGUAGGUGGAUUGUUAAGUCAGUUGUUAAAGUUGGCGGCUUAACCGUAAAAUUGCAGUUGAAACUGGCAGUCUUGAGUACAGUAGAGGUGGGCGGAAUGCGUGGUGUAGCGGUGAAAUGCUUAGAUAUCACGAAGAACUCCGAUUGCGAAGGCAGCUCACUGGACUGCAACUGACGCUGAGGCUCGAAAGUGUGGGUAUCAAACAGGAUUAGAUACCCCAGUAGUC
rnacentral:rRNA from 1 species